rnacentral:misc_RNA from 1 species
UCUCCGUUGGUGAACCAGCGGAGGGAUCAUUAAAGAGUUGAAAAACUCCCAAACCAUUUUGAACAUACCUUCAACGUUGCUUCGGCGGGUUGGCCCCGGUCUCCGGGGUCCCCGGCCCUCACGGGCGCCCGCCGGAGGUACCUAACUCUUUAACUUUUAUGACCUCUCUGAGUCUUUGUACUUAAUAAGUCAAAACUUUCAACAACGGAUCUCUUGGUUCUG